rnacentral:rRNA from 1 species
CCUACGGGAGGCUGCAGUAGGGAAUCUUCCACAAUGGGCGAAAGCCUGAUGGAGCAACGCCGCGUGGGUGAAGAAGGUCUUCGGAUCGUAAAACCCUGUUGUUAGAGAAGAAAGUGCGUGAGAGUAACUGUUCACGUUUCGACGGUAUCUAACCAGACAGCUCCGGCUAACUACGUGCCAGCAGCCGCGGUAAUACGUAGGUGGCAAGCGUUAUCCGGAUUUAUUGGGCGUAAAGGGAACGCAGGCGGUCUUUUAAGUCUGAUGUGAAAGCCUUCGGCUUAACCGGAGGAGUGCAUUGGAAACUGGGGGACUUGAGUGCAGAAGAGGAGAGUGGAACUCCAUGUGUAGCGGUGAAAUGCGUAGAUAUAUGGAAGAACACCAGUGGCGAAGGCGGCUCUCUGGGCUGUAACUGACGCUGAGGUUCGAAAGCGUGGGUAGCAAACAGGAUUAGAUACCCUAGUAGUC